CAAGCGCUUCUCAUUUUACUGACGCUCUGAGCAGGGAGGUAACCACCCAUGACUUGCUAGACUUCUCCAGAGACGUCCAGUAGCGUGGCCUUCCUGCGGGUAUUUUUAUGGUGGGCUCAGCCUCCGCACUGCCCACAGCCCUGUGGAGGGGUCCAGCUUCUUCCCACCUCACUGCCCUCUAGCUUCUGGGGUCACUCAGCCAUGACUCUUUCCUCCCCAGUCCAGACCCUUUCUGAGAGCACGAUCCAACCUAGGCCCUCUUGGACCCUGCUUUCCAGCACCUAACAGCCCAGCCCACCUGGCGUCCCCCAGAGGUCCGCUGCCCAAGGCCCACUGAGCUGGCCCUGCUUUCUUAACCUGCAGGAAGCUCUGUGUCCCAAGAAUCCCCAAGGCCCCCGACAGCAUGUAUGGUCCACAGGAGGCUACAGUGCUUUCUGGUCCUCUCAUUGUAUUCUCUAGAGCCCACGUUCAAGCAAGAGGAAAGUCGGACUUUGCACGAGCUGCACUUGGAAAGCAUUCAGUUUUUGUCUCUGCUUUAAGGAAAAGCAACAAAACUGGCCAGGACAGGAGGGCGAAGGGGAGUGCGUACAGGUGAAUGGCGCGGCUCAGGCCUGCUCCCCCAAGCUAAGCUGACAAGGCCUGCCACCGUCUCCAGAGGACCCAGUCCUGCUGCUUGGAAACCCAGAAUUCAACCAGGCAAGCAUGGCAGCAUCGGCAGGCACAGCCACUUCCCAGCACUGGGGUCACCCUUAAUAUGGAAGUCUGGCUUCAAGCGGCAGUGACCAGACUGCCUGGGUGCCUGGCAGACCUGGCACCAUCCCCGAGGGCCCCAGCUGGCCUGCCCUGUGCUCCCCAGGCAGCAAUGCCAAACUCUCCUCUCUAGCAAAGAAUGGUUUGAAGGCUCUCGAUUCUUCCCCAGCAAUCUGGGGUCUCCUUUGAGAGGAAGAGUUUGGGGACCCAAGGCUAAAGGAGGGCCACCUUCACUCACAGUCCUGACACUCUGUCCACGACCGUCAGCAGCCUGUUUUCCCUCUGUGGGGACCGGAGAUUCCGGCUGGCUGAUUCAGGCCCGCUCCGCACUGCCUGGAAGACAGAUGACAGUACAGGGUACUACUGACCGUGCAGGCAAAACACGUGCGUCCACGUCUUGACAAAGCUAUCCUAACCACAUCGCCACAGCAAGAAUCUGUCUCCAUGUGUGAUGGCCCGUUUGCUGUCUUUUUUUACAAAGCAAAACACAUCAUCCUUCUGUUCACCUUCUUUUAACUCUGAGAUAUAGAGGCCUGAGACGGAACACAGUGGCCGCUGGUUGGUUCAUGCGGCUCCAGAUGCAAUCUAGGCGGCAUUCCUUUUAUCUGGUAAACAACACAUUAAGGGCAUCAGGGGUCAUCGAAGGAACUGUCAGUGACCAAGGACAAUGCCCCCCACCGUGGGGUGCAAGCCUGGACUCGAGAUGAGAGAGACACCCCACUUCCUCCAUCACUUCCAUUACAUCUUGGUGGAAGCGGGUCAACGGGAGGAAACAGAAAAUGGACGUUUUUUUUUUCCUGUUACAGAAAGCUCAGACUAAAUCAAGACAUUUCUUCCCCUCCAGUUGUUUCUCCUAGUCAUUAACAAAGUAUCACAUGUUUGCUUUUGUCCAAAGAGAUGAA
ensembl:lncRNA